rnacentral:rRNA from 1 species
GACGAACGCUGGCGGCGUGCCUAAUACAUGCAAGUCGAGCGAAUGACGAGAAGCUUGCUUCUCUGAUUUAGCGGCCGACGGGUGAGUAACACGUGGGCAACCUGCCCUACAGAUCGGGAUAACUCAGGGAAACCUGGGCUAAUACCGGAUAAUCCUUCGAAUCACAUGUUUUGAAGUUGAAAGGCGCUUCGGCGUCACUGUAGGAUGGGCCCGCGGUGCAUUAGCUAGUUGGUGGGGUAACGGCCUACCAAGGCAACGAUGCAUAGCCGACCUGAGAGGGUGAUCGGCCACAUUGGGACUGAGACACGGCCCCAACUCAUACGGGAGGCAGCAGUAGGGAAUCUUCCACAAUGGACGAAAGUCUGAUGGAGCGACGCCGCGUGAGUGAUGAAGGUUUUCGGAUCGUAAAACUCUGUUGUAAGGGAAGAACAAGUACGUUAGGAAAUGAACGUACCUUGACGGUACCUUAUUAGAAAGCCACGGCUAACUACGUGCCAGCCGCCGCGGUAA